UACGUAGGUGACAAGCGUUGUCCGGAUUUACUGGGCGUAAAGAGCGCGCAGGCGGUCGUUCAAGUCGAGUGUGAAAGCCCCUCGGCUCAACUGGGGAGGGUCACUCGAUACUGAUCGACUCGAAGGCAGGAGAGGUAGUGGAAUUCCCGGUGUAGUGGUGAAAUGCGUAGAUAUCGGGAGGAACACCAGUGGCGAAGGCGGGUCUCUGGGCCGAUACUGACGCUGAGGAGCG
rnacentral:rRNA from 1 species